rnacentral:rRNA from 1 species
UACAGAGGGGGCAAGCGUUAUUCGGAAUUAUUGGGCGUAAAGGGCGCGUAGGCGGCCUGGCAAGUGGAAGGUGAAAUCCCUCGGCUUAACCGAGGAACUGCCCUCCAAACUGCUUGGCUUGAGUCCGGGAGAGGUGAGUGGAAUUCCCAGUGUAGCGGUGAAAUGCAUAGAUAUGUCACAGAACACCAAUUGCGAAGGCAGCUUACUAAAGUAUGAUUGACGCUGAGGCACGAAAGCGUGGGGAUCAAACAGG